rnacentral:tRNA from 1 species
GCAUCUGUAGCUCAGUUGGUAGAGCAUGGUGUUUGCAACGCCAGGGUUGUGGGUUCGAUUCCCACGGGGGGCC